GAUAUUUGAUGCCGUUGACUUUUUUAUACACAUUUGACCGCUCGUCUUAUUCAAAAAAUUUACGUAAUUAUUAAUUCUUUUUCUAUCAUUUGAUUCAUCGUUAAAUAUACUUUUAAGCACAUAUAUAACUCUACAUAUUUCAUAAAAGUUUUUGAAUAAGACGAGCGGUCAAACGUGUGUCAAAAAAUCAACGGUAUCAAAUAUU
rnacentral:pre_miRNA from 1 species